rnacentral:rRNA from 1 species
GUGGGGAAUAUUGCACAAUGGGCGAAAGCCUGAUGCAGCAACGCCGCGUGAAGGAAGAAGGUCUUCGGAUCGUAAACUUCUGUCCUAUGGGAAGAUAAUGACGGUACCAUAGGAGGAAGCCCCGGCUAACUACGUGCCAGCAGCCGCGGUAAUACGUAGGGGGCGAGCGUUAUCCGGAAUUAUUGGGCGUAAAGAGUGCGUAGGUGGUAACUUAAGCGCGGGGUUUAAGGCAAUGGCUUAACCAUUGUUCGCCCUGCGAACUGGGAUACUUGAGUGCAGGAGAGGAAAGCGGAAUUCCUAGUGUAGCGGUGAAAUGCGUAGAUAUUAGGAGGAACACCAGUGGCGAAGGCGGCUUUCUGGACUGAAACUGACACUGAGGCACGAAAGUGUGGGGAGCAAACAGGAUUAGAAACCCCAGUAGUCC